rnacentral:tRNA from 1 species
GAAAUAUAAGAAAAGUGAAAGCUGCUAACUUAUCAUUAUAGUGGUUAAAUUCCAUUAGUAUUUCU